CCCAACAUUACGGCUUUCCUUAUUCGCGCGCAGGACCGCCGCUGCAGAUCGCAGCAAGGAACGGUUGCCCUAGUAUGGCACAUGGCGGGCGCACUGCGAGAGGAUAUAUGGACAUACUGUGUGCAGCUACGGAGGGAUCCAGCACAAUGCACGGGGAAGAUUAUGCCGCUUUUCCCCGGAUAGCUGACUGUGGUGUGUGUACCAGUUGCCUACAAAGUCUCAGUGGGUCGAGGAAACCUGAGAGGAGGCGAGCCGACAGAGCGCGCAGACCUGAGGCUGCAGAGAGGACGUGACCUGUCGGGCACAAGUGAAAUCCUCAAAGUCUUCUGACGGCAUUCUUAAAUUUGCAACAAAAAAAAGACACGAGAGACGAGAGGUCACAUUUCGACACGGGGUUGAACUUAAUCCAAAAGCAAUACAAACAAACUUAGUUUCAUAAAAACAACGAACCAAACCUACUUAUCAAAAUCAACCACAUUUGAAUUUAUAUAUAUAUAAAGUCAUUUAGAAAUGUUUAUAAUUUAUCCACUGAAAAAGAAGUGGUUAAAAACAAUGGAGAAUGUGGGACACAUCACACCCUAAUAAAAUCAUUGUGAGAGACGUGUUGCUAAAAAGAAAAUUAUGACAUCAAUAUACUGACAAAAUAUAUAAUUCAACUAGAAGGGACCUCCGCCAAGACCAUGCCCUAUCUCACAAUGGUAACGGAGGUGAAAAAUAAUUGGUGUAUAAUUAAAUGGCUUCUUCCUCGGCCCAUGCUACUGUACAUCCUGCUGACAAACAGAACAAGCCAAACCAAUACCAAAACAUAAGCUCAUUGUAAUAACACAUGAGCACGUUUCAUCUCAACUCAAAGGCUAUUUUCUGACUGCAACUCACAGCUCCAUCAGCAGGUAUGUAUUUCAUAUUUCAGCCCUUACAUCACGUUGUGUUAGAAGAGCGUGUUGUGGUUCUGAGCUCGUGUUCCCACAGGUGGAGCGUGAAGCGUGUGGCAUGACAGACUGCAGGAGGUAAACUGUCCUUUGGGGUGAGGUAGUAGGUUGUAUAGUUUUAGGGUCAAUCCCAAGCUGUAAGAUGACUAUACAAUUUACUGUCUUUCCUGAAGCGACCGUGAUGGCAGCACCAUCAUCAUCAUCAUCAUCAUCGUCAAGUUCAUCACUGCAAAUCUUUUUUAUGUAUAUAGUGUUGAUCUUAAAAUGUUCAGACAUGUAGUAGGUAGAUAAAGAAAUGCUGCAAUAUGUUAUGUAGAAGAGUUCCCUCAUGUUUUGUACUGGACAUUCAGCGUGUCCAUUUCCAUUACCUGACAGUCAUUAGAGUGUUUUUCCUGUAAUGUGUUUUUAUUGCUUAUUAAAGUUACUUCAAAUGUGCUUAUAAUAAGUAAAAAAGCUUUAACAAAAUGCCUUCAUCAGCUGACAUUUGAAUGACGCUAACCUGUAUUCAUGUAGUAGCAACACCGGAGUUGUGUCUUCACUUACACAGUGACCAGAUGUGUCCUGAUGUUCUUCCUGCCCCACCUGGGGGACUACUGGUGUUCGUACAGGGUGAGGUAGUAGGUUGUGUGGUUUCAGGGUUGUGAUUUUACCCCAUCAGGAGUUAACUGUACAAACUACUGCCUUCCCUGGAGGGCAGCAAUACAUCACAGCAGAACACACAUCUCUGUCACCUGGGAAGAAACCUUCUGACUCACUCAGCACGACAAAGAGCCACCAUUUGAUUUCACUGAGUGAGUGGUGCCAAAUCCCAGCAUGCAUUAUGUUUCAGGCUUGUAACUCGUGUACAGAGCACGGAAAGUGCAGUUGGCUUUAGAAAUGUUAUUUUCAGCAUCCAUGAGUGUUUUAACUUUGUACUGUUUCAUUAAUAAAUAAAUAAAGACUGGAUAAGAAAUAAUAUUAAAACAAA